GAAUGAUUGCUUUCAGUGUUGCAGGAGCUGAAGUGCGCCCCAUGUUUUAUCAUCACGGUCCUCUACAAGAAAUCUUGAAGAUGAGAUGGAGUGCAUCAAAUAUGAACUAUUUUUAUCAUCACAGAGUGGCCAAGGCGUUGGACUUCCUGUGAGUGUACGUACAGCCGGAGUGAAACUUCAGCUUCAGCACAUUUCCUGCACCAGCUUAUGUGCUGCAGCAAAUGAUUUUGGAUUGACGCCAUAAAACCGGCCUACUUCGUGGUUUAAUUAUUAUUUUAUAAUCAAGGAUGCAGCAUGAAUUGUGGAGAAAACAAUGAAAAUCUGCAGAGCCACAUCUUCAGGCUGCGCAUUAAGAUUGCAUGGAAAUCGUUUCUCUCCUGACCAAAAUGUCAUCUUUACUAAUAAUGGACAUCUGAAAUAGGAAAUGAAUAACGUAAAAUCCAUUUGAAACCGUACAGGCUAAUUGCUGAAAUAGGAGGAAUGACGUUUGCUUACCUUGCUUAUUGGAGCAGGACUUGGUGUACAGGGGAUGGAGAGACCUGCUUGUCCAUAACCGCAAUCAGGAGCUCUGCAGAGAAGCCCUAUGGUAUCCCAAAAAUGCCUGUCAAUUAAUCACUCAUCACUCAGCAGAGUGUUAUUAGAGCUGGGGACUAAACACCUGGAUUUCAGAUGAGCGGCAUUUAUCAAUUCCAGUGGCUCACACUGCGAAGAAAGAGGAACUACACUGUGUUGCUGCCAGCAACUUGUGAAGGGAUGCAAGAAAUAAAUAAACGGGAAUUUCUUUUCAAGACAGGAAAGUCAUCCUAUCCAGGCUUCUUUGGCUAUUCUACAACGUCGCCUGAAGGCCUUUAAGUGAUAUAACCUUUUGUGGAGUUGCUUUUGACAACACAGAGAAGUUGCUCUCCAUGGUAUUUGAUGAGUAAUGACAUUUGAUUAGCAUGUGAGCACUGGUUGCUGUAUAAAUGGAAGCUCUGUGCAGAAAUCGGGCAAGAUUCCAGUCUUGAAGUUGUCAAGAGCAGAGAGAACAAGAUGUAUAACAAGCAGAGGGGUAAUUCAGAUCCCUGCCAAACCUUUGGUGCUGAAGUUUUACAUGCACAAUAAUUUUUUACCCCUUUUAUUCUUCAUGGAUCUGAGCUGAGACAGGCCCAAAGCACGAGGAGGUGGCAAUGGGGUGCCACGAGCACCAUGGGGAGCUCCUGGGGCUGUGUCUGCCCUGGAAGCAGCUGAAGGCCUUAUACACAUACACAGACAUGCAUGUAGCAGCUGUGCUGCAGAGGUGGUGCUUGCACUGCUGAGACCUGCAGGAAAGAUGCAGAUAGCCAUGCUGCUUUUGUUAACUGUUUCCUCAAGCAGCCUAACUAAGCUGAUAAAGCAUCUCUGUAUCUACCCUGAGGGCUUCCUGGGCAGAGCUAAGCUGGCAUUGAGAUAGGAUUUUUUUUUAAGCAUUCAUAACCGAUGUGGUUGUUUCAGUGGAAGCUUUAUAUGGUGUACUUAGCCAUGAUGAAGAGGACUCCUGUGCUGCCAACCUUUGUACAGUGCUGUAUUUUAGGCAGGGCUUGCUCUGUUUUUCAAUUGGGAUGUCCAAUAUAAUGCACUACUGCAAUUUGUCUGUCAAUAAAAUUGCUAUUUCCU
rnacentral:lncRNA from 1 species